rnacentral:rRNA from 1 species
UACAGAGGGUGCAAACGUUGCUCGGAAUUACUGGGCGUAAAGCGCGUGUAGGCGGUUUCGCAAGUCAGGUGUGAAAGCCCAGGGCUCAACCCUGGAAGUGCACAUGAUACUACGGAGCUUGAGUACUGAAGAGGAGAGCGGAAUUCCCGGUGUAGAGGUGAAAUUCGUAGAUAUCGGGAGGAACACCAGUGGCGAAGGCGGCUCUCUGGGCAGAUACUGACGUUGAGACGCGAAAGCGUGGGUAGCAAACAGG